rnacentral:other from 1 species
CACUCCCUGAGGUGUUUGGCAGUUGGUACAGUCCCUCGAGCCGAUAAUUAACACCCCGGAGGUUUUCAGAAGGCGCCGAUGUGCAUGUCCGCAAGACGGAAAGCCUAAAGUGUCUCGAAAACCACCACCUUGAACCUUCGGGUUCAGGGCCGAAAUCAACACCGGCAUCCUGGGGAGCCU